GGGGGAAUCGGUUAAUGGCAAACCACUGGUCUCCAAAACCAGGACUGGGGGUUCAAGUCCCUCUUCCCCCGCAA
rnacentral:tRNA from 4 species